UUAUUUUCUAGCUCCAUCCAUUUACCUGUGAAUUUCAUGGUAUCGUUUUUUGUUUUUGUUUUUGUUUUUAACAGCUGAGUAGCAUUGCAUUGUAUAAAUGUACCACAUUAUCUUUACUUAUUCAUCCAUCAAUGGACAUCUAGGCUGUUUACAAAUUUUGCCAUUAUGAACAGAGCAGCCAUGAACAUGGUUGAGCAAAUGUCUCUGUGGCAGAUGAAGCAUCCUUUGGGUAUAUGCCUAUGAGUGGUGUAGAUGGAUCUUGAGAUAGACCGAUUCCCAACCACACUGAUUUCCAUAGUGGCUGUACAAGUUUGCACUCCCACCAGCAAUGGAAGAGCGUUUCCCUUAUCCCACGUCCUCGCCAGCAUGAGCUGUCACUGGUGUUAUUGAUCUUAGCCAUUCUGACAGGUGGAAGAUAAAAUCUUAAUGUAGUUUCUAUUUGCAUUUCCCUGAUGACUAAAGAUGUCGAACAUUUCUUUAGAUGCUUCUCAGCCAUUUGUGUUUCCUCUUGUGAGAACGCUGCAUUUAGAUUUGGACCCCAUUUGUAAAUUGCAUUAUUUGUUUUCUAGAUGUCCAGGGUUUAAGCAUAACUUUUGUGAUAAUUUGAAAAUUUCACAUGAGGCACCCCAUCCCAUUAACUUCCCAAUCCUCACAGGACCCCCUACCCACUCUUAUGACCUCCCCCAAAACAAAACAAAAAGAAAAAAGAAAAAGCACUAAGUCUGUUGCUCAUGGUCAAACUCCCAGUGGCUUGCACCUUAAAAGAAAUUGAGUCCUUUCCCACCCCUGCCCUGGGAGGAGGGGACAGAGAGAGGUUGUCACAGAAGCUUCCUAUGUGUCUCAUUCUCAACAGUGGGUCUGCAACUAUCAAUACAACUGCAAAAGCAGCUGCCUUGCCCUUUCUGGUCCAUGACAGCAUGGAUUGUGAGCUUCCACGGGGUUUCCGGCUACAGUACAGACCAUGAACAUUGCUUCAGGAAGCAGCACAGACCACGGAUGUCCCCAGGGCCUUUGGUGGUACAUUGGCCCCUGGCCACAGGUGGGCCACAGACACAUGAGCAUUGCCUCCAGCUCCAACACAGCCCAUGGAUCUUCAACAUGGCUUCAGGAGGCAUCACAGGCCAUACAUUUCUUAGUCGGGGUUUCUAUUGCUGGGAUGAAACACCAUAACCAAAAGCAAGUUGGGAAGGAAAGGGUUUCUUCAUCAUAUACGUCCAGAUCAUAGUCCAUCAUUGGAGAAGUCAGGGCAGGAACCCAAGCAGGACAGAAUCCUGGAGGCAGGGGCUGAAACAGAAGCCAUGGGUGUGGGGGGGUGCUGUUUACUGGCUUGCUCCCCAUGGCUUGCUCAGCCUGCUUUCUCAUAGAACCCAGGACCAGCAGCCCAGGAAUGGCACCACCUACAAUGGUCUGAUCUCUCCCCUGUUGGUCACUAAUUGAUAAAAUGCCUUACAGUUGGAUCCCAUGGAAUCAUUUCCUUCCUCUCUGAUGACUCUAGCUUGUGUCAAGUUGACACGAAAGACCAGCCAACAUACAACAUAUAUCCACAUGGCCUUUGGUGUUAACAUGGAGCACAGACCUCAACAUGGCCUCUGACAAGAGCACAGACAGAGCACGGAUAUCCACACUGGCUCUAGUUGCAGCACAGACUGUGGACAUCAACAUAGCCCCCAGCAGCUGCAGACAGUAAGUUGGCCUCAGGCAAUAGCACAGGCCACACACAUCAACGUGGUUUCCAGCAGGAAUGAGGACCACAGACUCUAAUAUGGCUCUCAGCAGCAGCAUGGAUUAUGGUCAUCAACCUGGCCUACAGUGAGAACACAGACCAUGGAUGCCCUCAAAGCCUCCUGCCACAGCUUGGACGUUGGACACUAACAUGACCCUCAGGAGCAACACAGGCCACAGGAUGUCCAGGGUUUUGUUUUGUUUUUAGUUCUUUAUAUAUUUUAGUCAUCAACCUUCUAUCAAUUGUAUGAUUGAAAUAAGUCUUUUCCCAUUCUGUAGGCUGUGGAUUUGUCCUAAUGGUGGUAUUCUUUGCCUUACAGAAGUUUUCAGUUUCAUGAGGUCUCAUUAAUUAAUUGUUAAUCUUAGUGCCUGAGCUAUAAGUGUUCUUUUUAGGACUUUGUCUCCUGUGCCAAUACAUUUAAGACUAUUCCCA
rnacentral:lncRNA from 1 species